rnacentral:rRNA from 1 species
CCUACGGGUGGCAGCAGUGAGGAAUAUUGGUCAAUGGCCGUAAGGCUGAACCAGCCAAGUAGCGUGAGGGAAGACUGCCCUAUGGGUUGUAAACCUCUUUUAUGCGGGGAUAAAGGUGUCCACGUGUGGAGGUUUGCAGGGACCGCACGAAUAAGGACCGGCUAAUUCCGUGCCAGCAGCCGCGGUAAUACGGAAGGUCCGGGCGUUAUCCGGAUUUAUUGGGUUUAAAGGGAGCGGAGGCAGGUCUUUAAGCUUGCCUGUAAAUUUUGUGGCUCAACCAUGUGAGGGCGGCGCGAACGGGAGGCCUUGAGUGCGCAGCAGGCAGGCGGAAUUCGUGGUGUAGCGGUGAAAUGCUUAGAUAUCACGAAGAACCCCGAUUGCGAAGGCAGCCUGCCGCGGCGUUACUGACGCUGAAGCUCGAAAGCGCGGUUAUCGAACAGGAUUAGAUACCCGGGUAGUC